AAGUUUAUAGUAAACUAUCAUGGUUUGCUAGGAUUGCUGCAGACAUUUGAGAAGGACCAUCAACUCUAGAAAGAGCUGGUGCAUGUAGUGGGAGGUUCGUUUGUAGGUCGUCGAUCCUCUAAGAGAAGAAAAAAAAGGUACAAAAAAAUCGUGCCACCGAUCCAAAGCCAAAGUAGAGCACAAAGUCGAAAGUCAAUAAGAAUCAGGC
rnacentral:lncRNA from 1 species